GGGCGGUUAGCUCAGCUGGGAGAGCACCUGCCUUACAAGCAGGGGGUCGGCGGUUCGAUCCCGUCACCGCCCA
rnacentral:tRNA from 1 species